rnacentral:misc_RNA from 1 species
GAUGAAGAACGUAGCGAAAUGCGAUACUUGGUGUGAAUUGCAGAAUCCCGUGAACCAUCGAGUCUUUGAACGCAAGUUGCGCCUCAAGCCAUUAGGUUGAGGGCACGUCUGCCUGGGCGUCACAUAUCGUUGCCUGAUGCCGGUUUCCUCGUGAUGGGUGACUGUGCAGGGCGAAUGAUGGCUUCCCGUGAGCAUUGUUGCCUCAUGGUUGGUUGAAAAUUGAGUCCUUGGUAGGGAGCGCCGUGAUAGAUGGUGGUUGAGUGACGAACGAGACCCAAUCAUGUGAGACCCCUACCGAAUUUGGCCUUCAUGACCCACAUGCGUCUUUGGAACGCUCAUGACGAGACCUCAGGUCAGGCGGGGCUACCCGCUGAGUUUAAGCAUAUCAAUAAGCGGAGGA